rnacentral:misc_RNA from 1 species
AGGAAACACGGUGCCGGAUAACGUCCGGCGGGGGUGACCCCAGGGAAAGUGCCACAGAAAGCAAACCGCUCCGCUCGCGGAGUAAGGGUGAAAGGGUGGGGUAAGAGCCCACCGCGGACAUGGCAACAUGGACGGCACGGUAAACCCCACCGGGAGCAAGACCGAAUAGGGAUGACACGGGCGUGCAAGCGCCCAGCCGGUUUCCAGGCCCGUCAUCCGGGUGGGUUGCACGAGGCUGCGCGCAAGCGCAGUCCCAGAUGAAUGGCUGCCACGUUCCGCCCUCGAGGCGGAG